rnacentral:rRNA from 1 species
UACGGGGGGGGCAAGCGUUGUUCGGAAUUACUGGGCGUAAAGGGCUCGUAGGCGGCCAACUAAGUCAGACGUGAAAUCCCUCGGCUUAACCGGGGAACUGCGUCUGAUACUGGAUGGCUUGAGGUUGGGAGAGGGAUGCGGAAUUCCAGGUGUAGCGGAUGAAAUGCGUAGAUAUCUGGAGGAACACCGGUGGCGAAGGCGGCAUCCUGGACCAAUUCUGACGCUGAGGAGCGAAAGCCAGGGGAGCAAACGGGG